ACGCACAUCAUGUGGGCCACAUGUCAUCAACUUUCUCUCUCUUUCACUCUCUGAUUCUUUGAAUUAGAAUUUCACGCAUUUUUGCUCUCCCAGAGCCUCAGAGAGAGAGACCGGGAAAAAUGACUCGGGGAAAGCAGAAGAUUGAAGCGCAAAAACGAAAUGCGGAGAAGAAUCAGAAGCAAAAGGGGUCUCAAUUUGAGGCCAGAGCCGUUGCUCUCAAAAUCACUUGUCCUAUUUGCAAGGUGCAACUUGCAAAUCCAAAGCAGCUUGGCGAUCACUAUGCUUCCAAACAUCCCAGAGAAAAGCCUCCAGCUGAAUCAGAAUGAUCCCUUUCUCAUGUGGAAUACAGUAUGACAAUAAAAAACGAAGUAAAAAAAUCCUUUGCUGUGUUUUACGACGUGUUUCAGAAAGUUUGUUAUAUGUUGACUUGUGUUAAAUCUCUCCAGCUCCCAUCGCGUGCCCCUGGUUUGUUAAACGUUGUAUGACUAUGAAGGAUGAUUGUUACUGUCGUCAUAUCUAGAGUUAUGUGGGCUGUGAAAUGAAAUUUUUGUCCAUUUUAUAUCA